rnacentral:rRNA from 1 species
CAGCCGCCGCGGUAAUACGUAGGGUGCGAGCGUUAAUCGGAAUUACUGGGCGUAAAGGGCGCGUAGGCGGUUGUUACAGUCAGAUGUGAAAUUCCUGGGCUCAACCUGGGGACUGCAUUUGAUACGUGACGACUUGAGUGCAGAAGAGGAGAGUGGAAUUCCACGUGUAGCGGUGAAAUGCGUAGAGAUGUGGAGGAACACCAGUGGCGAAGGCGACUCUCUGGUCUGUAACUGACGCUGAGGAGCGAAAGCGUGGGGAGCGAACAGGAUUAGAUACCCGUGUAGUCCCUGUCUCUUAUAC